UACGUAGGGGGCUAGCGUUGUCCGGAUUUAUUGGGCGUAAAGAGCGUGUAGGCGGCCAGGUAGGUCUGCUGUGAAAACUCGAGGCUCAACCUCGAGACGCCGAUGGAAACCAUGUGGCUAGAGUCCGGAAGAGGAGAGUGGAAUUCCUGGUGUAGCGGUGAAAUGCGCAGAUAUCAGGAAGAACACCCGUGGCGAAGGCGGCUCUCUAGUACGGUACUGACGCUGAGACGCGAAAGCGUGGGGAGCGAACAGG
rnacentral:rRNA from 1 species